UCGGUGCGAUCAAAGCAGUCCUGGAGUUGUAGAGUGGCGUCCUCGGUCCAUAUUUUGACCGUCCUUAUUGCAGGUUUGGUCUUGCGGAUGAGGGGUUUGUAUGCAGGCAGUAGAAGCAGUGAGAGGUGAUUGGAUUGCCCCAGGGAUGGGCAGGGGAGAACUCUGUAUGGGUCCUGAUGCUGGUUUACAC